UACAGAGGUCUCAAGCGUUUGUUCGGAUUCAUUGGGCGUAAAGGGUGCGUAGGUGGCGCGCUAAGUCAGGUGUGAAAUUUCGGAGCUUAACUCCGAAACUGCAUUUGAUACUGGCGUGCUUGAGGACUGGAGAGGAGACUGGAAUUCAUGGUGUAGCAGUGAAAUGCGUAGAGAUCAUGAGGAAGACCAGUGGCGAAGGCGGGUCUCUGGACAGUUCCUGACACUGAGGCACGAAGGCCAGGGGAGCGAACGGG
rnacentral:rRNA from 1 species